rnacentral:rRNA from 1 species
UACGUAGGGUGCAAGCGUUAAUCGGAAUUACUGGGCGUAAAGCGUGCGCAGGCGGUGAUGUAAGACAGGUGUGAAAUCCCCGGGCUUAACCUGGGAACUGCAUUUGUGACUGCAUCGCUGGAGUGCGGCAGAGGGGGAUGGAAUUCCGCGUGUAGCAGUGAAAUGCGUAGAUAUCGUCAAGAACACCGAUAGCGAAGGCAGCUUACUAGACUGUAACUGACGCUGAUGCACGAAAGUGUGGGGAUCAAACAGG